CAAGACAACUUUACGGAGUUGACGAUUGACGGAGCGAAGCGACGUCAAAGCGUUCAUUAAAGUCGAGUUGGCUUAGGGAUACGUUCGUUGGGUAGGGGAGCGUUCUGUAAGCCUGCGAAGGUGGCCUGUGAGGGUUGCUGGAGGUAUCAGAAGUGCGAAUGCUGACAUAAGUAACGAUAAAGCGGGUGAAAAGCCCGCUCGCCGGAAGACCAAGGGUUCCUGUCCAACGUUAAUCGGGGCAGGGUGAGUCGACCCCUAAGGCGAGGCCGAAAGGCGUAGUCGAUGGGAAACGGGUUAAUAUUCCCGUACUUGGUGUUACUGCGAAGGGGGGACGGAGAAGGCUAUGUUGGCCGGGCGACGGUUGUCCCGGUUUAAGCGUGUAGGUGUGUGUUCCAGGUAAAUCCGGUUCACUUUAACACUG
rnacentral:rRNA from 1 species